AUCGUCAAACACGGGUUGUUGCUGGCCUCCAAACGGGGGCACGUGCACGCUCUGUUUACACAUCCACUCACACCUGUGCACCCUCUGUAGUCCUAUGGUUCGGAAGACCCCGUCUUCCUUCUGUAGCUCUACGUCUUUACACACACACUGUAGCGAUGUCUCAUGGAAUGUUUUUAUGCGUUUAACGCGAUACAAUACAACUUUCAGCAACGGAUCUCUUGGCUCUCGCAUCGAUGAAGAACGCAGCGAAAUGCGAUAAGUAAUGUGAAUUGCAGAAUUCAGUGAAUCAUCGAAUCUUUGAACGCACCUUGCGCCCCUUGGUUAUUCCUUGGAGCAUGCCUGUUUGAGUAUCAUGAACACCUCAACUCUCAUGGUCUUCCAUGAUGAGCUUGGACUUUGGGGGUUUGCUGGCCCUGCGGCCGGCUCCUCUCAAAUGAAUCAGCUUGCCAGUGUUUGGUGGCAUCACGGGUGUGAUAACUAUCUACGCUCGCGGUCGUCUGCCAGGUAACCCUCAGCGAUGAGGGUUCAUUGGAGCUCAUAAACGUCUCUCCUCGGCGAGGACAACUUUUGAACGUUCGAUCUCAAAUCAGGUAGGAUUACCCGCUGAACUUAAGCAUAUCA
rnacentral:rRNA from 1 species